CUACCGGAAGCUAAGGAGAACAGCCCGAAGCCUACGCCGCGGGGCCCUGGUGACCGGUUUGGUUAGUCUCGGGCUCUCGAGUCUGCCAGGAGUCUAACAACGCAGUUCUCCUCUUCGGCGGUCUCAGGUUUCCUCUUCAAUGGCACAGAUUUUUGCCCAUCUGUCCUUCUUUUUCUCCCUACCUUUAGUUCCUGUGAUUCAGGUGCCUACAGCACGGAGACCUGCCACCGCGCGCAGGCUUCUCUAUGGAUACUCAUGCCUAAGUCACUAGAUCUUCCAUUUGGCUCUACCCUGCAAAGGUCAUUUCAAGAUUUUCUCUACUUCCAAGCACAAAACAUUUAAUUCCUUCUAGGAGUCCUUUGUGACCCCUGGAGAAGAAAAGCUACUUGGAAAGGAGAAAAGAAUUGGGAGAAUAUCUAAAUCUCUUCUAUAUAUGAGGUGAAGGGCCAUGCCUGGCAGACUACAUGGGGAAUCAGAGGAUCAAGAGGAGUGAAGAGAGGAUCCCUGGAGGAAUGCCCGUCCUCCCUCCACUGACAGCAGCCACAGUUACUAACAGGGUCUUUCUGAUGAGGA
rnacentral:sRNA from 1 species